GAACAACAUCUAAGUCAUCUUCUUUCAGGCGCUCUCGUGGGUCUGGAAAGAUGCCAGAAACAGAAAGAUUUAUUACUUAAUCAAUGACUGAUAAGUGCCAAGUAUUCUCAGGUGUGAACAAAUACUCAAGUGACUGACUAUACAAAGCCUAUAGGAGCAAAAGAUAGAGCAAUGAGCCAGUUGCACACCGGCAUUAACUAUGCUAGCAGUGCCAUUUGUGACAGGGUACACCUCAACUGGAAUGUCAAUAGAGGAUGAAGAACCACUUUCUUCAAUAACAGGCUGAGAAGUGGGAAAACAAAACCAUUCUUGGACCGUAAAAACUCAUGGGAAUAACUUAAACAUCAAGGUAAACUUAUACUUAUGGUUCUUGAGAGCAGAGCUUCUUAAACUAAUUUCAGGGCCUCAAGGAAUCAUAUACAAAAUUGUGCAUUUCAGCAGUGAGUGUUUAUACCUUCAAGCGAUUGCCAGUAAAUCCUAAAGAAGUUAAGAAGUAGUACUUUAAACCAAUGACGUUUCUCAAAAUGUGACCCAAGAUCCACCUGCGCAUUUAGGGAAACAUGAGAAUGCUCCUCUUCGUGGGCUUAGAGACCUGGAAUCUGUUAGCAAAGUCUCAACUGCAUAAGACAUAGGUAUCCCAGCCUGAGAGGGUCCCCCACUUAAGUGGGGAGGAGUCAACACAAAGUCUGCUUUUCCGUAACCGUCCACUGAACAUUUCCUGGGUGCCAGGCUAGUCUAGCACAGGCAGAUGACUCUCUUUCCUGGCCUCACAGCUCUCCAGUUUCUCAAGAGGACUUGCUAUCUCAUCUAGAGCCCUUACCAACAAUUAUUCCUGGAAAGAAACCACUUUGGGAUAUUUUAAAAGAAAACCUUCAACUUUAGCUAAAGGAAAAAUACUUGGAAAAGUGCCCACUAUGGUUUUCUGCACA